ensembl:snRNA U6 U6 spliceosomal RNA
GGGCUUACUUCCACAGCACAUACACUAAAAUUGGAACAACUCAGAGAUUAGCAUGGCCCCUGCGCAAGGAUGACACACAAAUUCGUGAAGCAUUCCAUAAUUUU